rnacentral:lncRNA from 1 species
GAGAAAACGGGAAGAGCUUGAAAGAGGACUAGCUGGAUAAAAGUAAUAAAUGACUGCUUUUCUGAUGUUGUGAAGUUCAAGUUCAGGAAGCAUCCAGUGAAAGUUAAUCUGGAAUCACAACGAUGUGAACACCAGCUGUUCCUCAGUCUCCCUUUUUCAUAAUCCAACCAGCAUUUCUAAAAUUGGUGACAAAACUUUGUCCUGGGAGAAUGGACCUCCUUUUUUCAAACCCAAAGUGACCUGCUGUCGAGCAAAUGAUGGAGCUGGGAAACAUUAUUAGUCGAUAACAAUAUGGAGCUGUAAAGUCUAGCCUAAUUUUCUUGUGAAGGCGAUACCAAAGCAGACUUCCCAAAGUGUUCUGAACAAUGACAGAGCCAUUUGGGUAAGUGUGGAAAACCUAAGGGGGCUCCUUUGAAGGACAAGCCUUAUUUUUAGUUGUUUGCCUAUGCAGACGCUUCAUUUUUCAAGCAUGUAAUAGGGGGAACAAGAAUACCGGAAGUACACUGUGCAUUGUGUGCUAGGAACAAAACCUCUGUGCUGGAGGAAAGGUAAUUGUCUGUUCCUUUCAGAACCUUCCAGUGAACUGGACACAGGAGGAUGUUCUGUUUAUAUUGUAUAGUAUUUCAUAUGAAAUAAUUACAGUUCAUGAAAUGUCUUCCUAAUGUUACUGAUUUAUAACAGCACAUUUGUAACAUGCUUUUAUCGUGUCAGUGUACCAUAUUGUAAAUGAGGAUUACUUGUCAUGCUUAGUAUAAUAACUUAAAAAAAAAGCACAGGGAUUUUUGUAAGUCUAUAUUUGAAAGUCCCUCCAUAUGGUAAUAUUGUGUUCAUGUUGUUUAUGUAGUGUUGUGUGAAAUAUCCAUUUUGGAUUGUGUUACUUUUUAAGAUAUUAAAUAACAUUUGGUUAUAUGUCUAAGUGGAUUUUUUUUUUUUUUGGUACUUGAGAGAAAAAUACCUUACGUGAGACCACUUUAUUUCUCCUCAACUAAUAUUACAUCAUAACAAAAUUUUAUUGCACAAUCUUGGUUAUU